GACUCUCGGCAACGGAUAUCUUGGUUCUCGCAUCGAUGAAGAACGUAGCGAAAUGCGAUACUUGGUGUGAAUUGCAGAAUCCCGUGAACCAUCGAGUCUUUGAACGCAAGUUGCGCCCGAGGUGAAUCCACCAAGGGCACGUCUGCCUGGGCGUCACACAUCG
rnacentral:rRNA from 1 species